AUUGAACGCUGGCGGCAGGCCUAACACAUGCAAGUCGAACGGUAGCAGGAAGCAUCUUGCUGCUUUGCUGACCAGUGGCGUACGGGUUAGUAAUGUCUGGGAAACUGCCCGGGGGAUGAGGAUAACUACUGGAAACUGUAGCUACUACCGCAUAACGGCGCAAGACGGGAGAGGUGGACCUUAGGGCCUCUUAGCAUCGGAUAGGCCCAGGUGGGAUUAGCUAGUAGUUGGGGUAACGGCUGACCUAGGCGACGAUCCGUAGCUGGUCUGAGAGGAUGACCAGCCACACUGGAACUGAGACACGGUCCAGACUCCUACGGGAGGCAGCAGUGGGGAAUAUUGCACAAUGGGCGCAAGCCUGAUGCAGCCAUGCCGCGUGUAUGAAGAAGGUCUUCGGGUUGUAAAGUACUUUAAGCGGGGAGGAAGGGAGUAAAGUUAAUACCUUUCCUUAUUGACGUUACCAGCAGAAGAAGCACCGGCUAACUCCGUG
rnacentral:rRNA from 1 species